GGCGGGUAGUGAGGACCGAGGAGCUAAGCAGGCAGGAUGCACGUCUCCACCACCACCACCAUCCUCACCAUCACCCUGCUAUGCUUGACCGUUCCCCUCACCACCACCACCACCACCACCACUACUGACGAAGGGAGGGCAGCGCGGAUCCUGGGUAUCAUCACCACUACGCAGGUGACGCAGCUGGCCACCACCACCAUCACCGCCCUCUCCACUUGCUUCACGGCAGCCACCAAUGCGCCGGUCUGUCUUGGGCGGCGGCGGCGGCUGGCGGUGAAGACUCUACUAAACAUACGUAAACAAGACGAGAGACAACCACGAGGCCUCUUUGGAAGCCUAACGGACGAUGAGCGAGGGAAGCCACAAGAGGAAGAGGAGGAGGAAGGCAGGAGGAAAGGAAGGCUAAGAUUCACCGUGUGGAAAUCGACCUUCACUACACUGACUAUCACCAGCACGUCAGCUCUCGGGGGCACCACCAUCACCGCCUCCGCCCUGUGUGUCACUCCUGGCUACUCCAGCACCUGCUUCCUCGGCUGAGAGAGAGAGAGAGAGAGAGAGAGAGAGAGAGAGAGAGAGAGAGAGAGAGAGAGAGAGAGAGAGA